rnacentral:misc_RNA from 1 species
UACAGAGGGUGCGAGCGUUAAUCGGAAUUACUGGGCGUAAAGGGUGCGUAGGUGGUUACAUAAGUUAGGUGUGAAAGUCCCGGGCUUAACCUGGGGAUUGCGCCUGAUACUGUGUAGCUAGAGUUCUGGAGAGGAAAGUGGAAUUUCCGGUGUAGCGGUGAAAUGCGUAGAUAUCGGAAGGAACAUCAGUGGCGAAGGCGACUUUCUGGACAGAAACUGACACUGAGGCACGAAAGCAUGGGGAGCAAACAGG